AUUGAACGCUGGCGGCAUGCCUUACACAUGCAAGUCGAACGGCAGCACGGGAGCAAUCCUGGUGGCGAGUGGCGAACGGGUGAGUAAAGUAUCGGAACGUGCCCAGUCGUGGGGGAUAACGUAGCGAAAGUUACGCUAAUACCGCAUACGAUCUAUGGAUGAAAGCGGGGGAUCGCAAGACCUCGCGCGAUUGGAGCGGCCGAUAUCAGAUUAGGUAGUUGGUGGGGUAAAGGCUCACCAAGCCGACGAUCUGUAGCUGGUCUGAGAGGACGACCGGCCACACUGGGACUGAGACACGGCCCAGACUCCUACGGGAGGCAGCAGUGGGGAAUUUUGGACAAUGGGCGCAAGCCUGAUCCAGCCAUGCCGCGUGCAGGAUGAAGGCCUUCGGGUUGUAAACUGCUUUUGUACGGAACGAAAAGGUUUGGCCUAAUAAGCUGAGCUCAUGACGGUACCGUAAGAAUAAGCACCGGCUAACUACGUGCCAGCCGCCGCAGUAAGAC
rnacentral:rRNA from 1 species